UACGUAGGGUGCGAGCGUUGUCCGGAAUUAUUGGGCGUAAAGAGCUCGUAGGCGGUUUGUCGCGUCUGCCGUGAAAGUCCGGGGCUCAACUCCGGAUCUGCGGUGGGUACGGGCAGACUAGAGUGAUGUAGGGGAGACUGGAAUUCCUGGUGUAGCGGUGAAAUGCGCAGAUAUCAGGAGGAACACCGGUGGCGAAGGCGGUUCUCUGGGCCUUACCUGACACUGAGGAGCGAAAGCGUGGGGAGCGAACAGG
rnacentral:rRNA from 1 species